AACGAACGCUGGCGGCAGGCUUAACACAUGCAAGUCGAGCGCCCCGCAAGGGGAGCGGCAGACGGGUGAGUAACGCGUGGGAAUCUACCCAUCUCUACGGAAUAACGCAUGGAAACGUGUGUUAAUACCGUAUACGGCCUUCCGGAGAAAGAUUUAUCGGAGAUGGAUGAGCCCGCGUUGGAUUAGCUAGUUGGUGGGGUAAAGGCCUACCAAGGCGACGAUCCAUAGCUGGUCUGAGAGGAUGAUCAGCCACACUGGGACUGAGACACGGCCCAGACUCCUACGGGAGGCAGCAGUAGGGAAUAUUGGACAAUGGGCGCAAGCCUGAUCCAGCCAUGCCGCGUGAGUGAUGAAGGCCCUAGGGUUGUAAAGCUCUUUCACCGGUGAAGAUAAUGACGGUAACCGGAGAAGAAGCCCCGGCUAACUUCGUGCCAGCCGCCGCAGUAACAC
rnacentral:rRNA from 1 species